rnacentral:rRNA from 1 species
AUUGAACGCUGGCGGCGUGCCUAACACAUGCAAGUCGAGCGGUAACAGGUGUAGCAAUACAUGCUGACGAGCGGCGGACGGGUGAGUAACGCUUGGGAAUCUGCCUGUUAGUAGGGGGACAACCCGGGGAAACUCGGGCUAAUACCGCAUACGCACUACGGUGGAAAGCCGGGGACGCAAGCCUGGCGCUAACAGAUGAGCCCAAGUCGGAUUAGCUAGUUGGUAGGGUAACGGCCACCAAGGCGACGAUCCGUAACUGGUCUGAGAGGACGACCAGUCACACCGGAACUGAGACACGGUCCGGACUCCUACGGGAGGC